rnacentral:rRNA from 1 species
AUACGGAGGGGGUUAGCGUUGUUCGGAAUUACUGGGCGUAAAGCGUACGUAGGCGGAUCAGAAAGUAAGGGGUGAAAUCCCAGGGCUCAACCCUGGAACUGCCUCUUAAACUCCUGGUCUUGAGUUCGAGAGAGGUGAGUGGAAUUCCAAGUGUAGAGGUGAAAUUCGUAGAUAUUUGGAGGAACACCAGUGGCGAAGGCGGCUCACUGGCUCGAUACUGACGCUGAGGUGCGAAAGUGUGGGGAGCAAACAGGAUUAGAAACCCUAGUAGUCC